rnacentral:rRNA from 1 species
AAUUGGAGGGCAAGUCUGGUGCCAGCAGCCGCGGUAAUUUCCAGCUCCAAUAGCGUAUAUUAAAGUUGUUGCAGUUAAAAAGCUCGUAGUUGAAUUUCGGGAUUGACACAUCGGUCGUGCCUUAAGGGGUAUGAACUGGUGUAGUCAAUUUCUCACCUUCUGGAGAACCGCGAUGCCCUUAAUUGGGUGUCACGGGGAACCAGGACCUUUACUUUGAAAAAAUUAGAGUGUUUAAAGCAGGCAUUUUGCUUGAAUACAUUAGCAUGGAAUAAUAAAAUAGGACGGCAUGAUUCUAUUUUGUUGGUUUCUAGGAUCACCGUAAUGAUUAAUAGGGAUAGUUGGGGGCAUUAGUAUUCAAUUGUCAGAGGUGAAAUUCUUGGAUUUAUUGAAGACUAACUACUGCGAAAGCAUUUGCCAAGGAUGUUUUCAUUAAUCAAGAACGAAAGUUAGGGGAUCGAAGACGAUCAGAUACCGUCGUAGUCUUAACCAUAAACUAUGCCGACUAGGAAUCAGACGAUGUUAAUUUUUUAAUGACUCGUUUGGCACCUUACGGGAAACCAAAGUGU